UCCGAUAUGGUGUAACGGCUAACAUUUCCGCCUUUCAUGACGCGCUGAUUCGCGGGAGCCCGGGGUUCGACUCCCCGUAUCGGAG